CCUACGGGAGGCAGCAGUGAGGAAUAUUGGUCAAUGGGCUGAAGCCUGAACCAGCCAAGUCGCGUGAGGGAAGACUGCCCUACGGGUUGUAAACCUCUUUUGUCAGGGAGCAACGCCGUCUACGUGUAGCCGGCCUGAGAGUACCUGCAGAAAAAGCAUCGGCUAACUCCGUGCCAGCAGCCGCGGUAAUACGGAGGAUGCGAGCGUUAUCCGGAUCUAUUGGGUGUAAAGGGUGCGUAGGCGGAAUGCCAAUUCAGCGGUAAAAUCGCGGGGCUCAACCUCGCUCCGCAGUUGAAACUGGCGUUCUUGAGUGGGCGAGAAGUAUGCGGAAUGCGUGGUGUAGCGGUGAAAUGCAUAGA
rnacentral:rRNA from 1 species